rnacentral:rRNA from 1 species
GAAAGGCGUAGUCGAUGGGAAAAUGGUUAAUAUUCCAUUACUUCUGUGUAAUGCGAUGAGAGGACGGAGAAGGCUAAAUCAGCCUGGCGUUGGUUGUCCAGGUGAAAGGAUGUAGGCAUGUAUCUUAGGCAAAUCCGGGGUACUCUAUGCUGAGAUCUGAUAGCAAGCUGUACUUGUACAGCGAAGUGGUUGAUGCCAUGCUUCCAGGAAAAGUCUCUAAGCUUCAGUUACACAGGAAUCGUACCCGAAACCGACACAGGUGGUCAGGUCGAGUAGACCAAGGCGCUUGAGAGAACUCUGCUGAAGGAACUAGGCAAAAUGGUACCGUAACUUCGGGAGAAGGUACGCUGUUGUUGGUGAUGGAACUUGCUUCCUGAGCUGACGACAGCCGCAGAAACCAGGCCGCUGCAACUGUUUAUUAAAAACAUAGCACUCUGCAAACACGAAAGUGGACGUAUAGGGUGUGAUGCCUGCCCGGUGCUGGAAGGUUAAUUGAUGGGGUUAGCGUAAGCGAAGCUCUUGAUCGAAGCCCCAGUAAACGGCGGCCGUAACUAUAACGGUCCUAAGGUAGCGAAAUUCCUUGUCGGGUAAGUUCCGACCUGCACGAAUGGCAUAAUGAUGGCGGCGCUGUCUCCAGCAGAGGCUCAGUGAAAUCGAAAUCGCUGUGAAGAUGCAGUGUACCCGCGGCUAGACGGAAAGACCCCGUGAACCUUUACUGCAGCUUGACACUGAACUUUGACCUUACUUGUGUAGGAUAGGUGGGAGGCUUUGAAGCUGGAACGCUAGUUCCAGUGGAGCCGUCCUUGAAAUACCACCCUGGUAAUGUUGAGGUUCUAACUCUGUCCCGUGAUCCGGGACGAGGACCGUGUCUGGUGGGUAGUUUGACUGGGGCGGUCUCCUCCUAAAGAGUAACGGAGGAGUACGAAGGUGCGCUCAGCGUGGUCGGAAAUCACGCGUAGAGUAUAAAGGCAAAAGCGCGCUUAACUGCGAGACCCACAAGUCGAGCAGGUACGAAAGUAGGUCUUAGUGAUCCGGUGGUUCUGUAUGGAAGGGCCAUCGCUCAACGGAUAAAAGGUACUCUGGGGAUAACAGGCUGAUACCGCCCAAGAGUUCAUAUCGACGGCGGUGUUUGGCACCUCGAUGUCGGCUCAUCUCAUCCUGGGGCUGAAGCAGGUCCCAAGGGUAUGGCUGUUCGCCAUUUAAAGAGGUACGCGAGCUGGGUUUAGAACGUCGUGAGACAGUUCGGUCCCUAUCUACCGUGGGCGCUGGAAAUUUGAGAGGAUCUGCUCCUAGUACGAGAGGACCAGAGUGGACGAACCUCUGGUGUACCGGUUGUGACGCCAGUCGCAUCGCCGGGUAGCUAUGUUCGGAAGGGAUAACCGCUGAAAGCAUCUAAGCGGGAAGCCUACCUCAAGAUAAGAUUUCCCUAGGACUUUAUGUCCUCUAAAGAGCCGUUCGAGACUAGGACGUUGAUAGGUUGGAUGUGGAAGCAUAGUGAUAUGUGAAGCUGACCAAUACUAAUUGCUCGUGAGGCUUGACUAU